CCUACGGGAGGCAGCAGUAAGGAAUAUUGGUCAAUGGACGCAAGUCUGAACCAGCCAUGCCGCGUGAAGGAUUAAGGUCCUCUGGAUUGUAAACUUCUUUUAUCUGGGACGAAAAAAGGCGAUUCUUCGUCACUUGACGGUACCAGAUGAAUAAGCACCGGCUAACUCCGUGCCAGCAGCCGCGGUAAUACGGAGGGUGCAAGCGUUAUCCGGAUUCACUGGGUUUAAAGGGUGCGUAGGCGGGCGGGUAAGUCAGUGGUGAAAUCCUAGAGCUUGACUCUAGAACUGCCAUUGAUACUAUCUGUCUUGAAUAUUGUGGAGGUAAGCGGAAUAUGUCAUGUAGCGGUGAAAUGCUUAGAUAUGACAUAGAACACCUAUUGCGAAGGCAGCUUACUACGCAUAUAUUGACGCUGAGGCACGAAAGCGUGGGGAUCAAACAGGAUUAGAUACCCUGGUAGUCCACGCCCUAAACGAUGAUUACUCGACAUUUGUGAUACACUAUAAGUGUCUGAGCGAAAGCAUUAGAAUCCACCUGGAGUACGACGCAAGUUGAAACUCAAAUGAAUUGACGGCGNGAGAGNGCGAGGACGACGACGAGGGAGUAGG
rnacentral:rRNA from 1 species